rnacentral:tRNA from 6 species
CGGAUGUAGCCAAGUGGCUCAAGGCAGU